AACGGGGGGGCUGGCGAUAUUCAUCAUAUACUGGGCGUAUAGGGAUUAAAGGUGGCUUUUUCAAUCAAGAUAUGAAAACUUGUACGAGUUAAUGUAAUGGACUUUAUUUGACAUUAUUAAGCUAGAGUUUUUUAGGAGAUUAAGGGUACUCUUGGUGUAGGGGUGGCAUUCGAUAAUAUCGAUGGGGACUGUCAGUAGUGAAGAACGCUUUUCUAUAUUUAUACUAACACUAAAGAUCUAAAGCAUGGUCGCAAACAGG
rnacentral:rRNA from 1 species